rnacentral:lncRNA from 1 species
GCACCUUCCUUCCAAUUGCUGGUUUCUCAAACCCUGAGUGGCUCUCCCCGGACUCGGGUCUGGUCUGAAUGGAUUUGCGUGUGGACGUGCGUUUCUCCAGCCAGGUCAGAGUGGGUUCUUCUUGCAGAGAGGGAGGGGCUCCGGCCUCCGAGGGAGCAGGACAGGAGGACGGAAAUGUGCUCAGUGGGCAUCUGUGUGGGGUGUGUGGACUCCUCAUGGAUGCCCAGCCCCACGAUGGCUGUGGCUUUGCAUGGACACAGCUCCCUUCUCUGGCCCCAGAGCAGACUGUGGGGUCUUCCCUGUCAGAACCCACACUUUAAAAGCUCUCUCUGCAGCCUUUGUCUGACGGAAGGAGCCAGGGCCUGCGGGGCUGAGAGCAGGAGCUGACACGCCAUGUUCCGCGCUCUCCAAUAAGUCACCCAGUCCAACGUCUCGGAGUCCUUGGAUUCCUCCUUCUUCCAGCCCUCACUGCUCCACUUCUGGGCUAUUCUGGGUUCUGCUGGGAAAACUCACCCCUGGAGAUGAUCCCUCUGUGCCUGUGUGGGAUGGCUACUCCUGGUGAGCUUGCAUCCUCAGUUGGAUUCUUCCAGCCCUUCCCGCUGCUCAGGUCUGCUGCUCAACCCUCCGAACCUUGAUUUUGCAUUUCUGCUGUCAUUUCGGCGGGGUUUGAGGAAGCAGGAAAAGUGAGCACAUGCUUCUUCAGCCCGCUCUAAAAAAGCUUCUCUUUUAUUUUUCUUGCUGUCGACCUGUGCUAUGGCCAAAGCCUGCUUGAAGACCAAAAACUUCUCACACCUGGGGUUGUUCCUGCCAUCUCCAGCCAGCUGUCAUGUGUGCAGAGUGCCAGGCUGAUAUAGCUCACACAGCCUUUCAGGGGCUGGCUUCCAUCCUCACGUUACUUCAUGCUGGAAGGUGGCUGCCAAAAUUCCAGCCACUGUGUUUGUGCUGUAAGCCACAGAAGGAGCAAAAGCAGGACACCCAAAGGGCUGUGCGUCCAGCUGAGUCAGCUCCCUGCAAUCACCUUUCUAGAAGUUUCGCUCAACAUUUCUACUUAUGUCUCAUUGGACUUACUCAUAGAUCUACACCCAGCUCCACAGGAGGCUGAGAAAUGAGACGCUUCCACAGGUAGCUAUACGUCUGGCUGACAUCAGGGCUGUUGGAAGAAGGAGAGACUAGAUGUUGGGAGGCAGGCCCCGCUUGAGCUUUCACAACAAAAUAGUUCUUUCUUUCAUGGAAGCAGGAUGAGCUCUUUUCUGGAUAUCAACUUAAUCUGACUUAGGUUCCUUCCCCCUUGGUAAACUGACUUAACUUUUAACUGAUUUAACCAUUAUCAGUCAGUACAUCAGUCAAAAUAACUCGUGUAAUAAUUUUUUCAAAAAUGAGGAUGACCGGAAUGUUCUUGCUAUCAGUCAAUGUGCUCACACAGUCUGGUCGUUUGUGAGUUCUUUUUUCCCAGCGAGCACACAGUAUAAUGUUCUAGAAUCAUUGACUCCAAUGUUACACUGAACUUGUAUCAAAUCCUCAG